rnacentral:rRNA from 1 species
GGAGAGUGGCGCACGGGUGAGUAACGCGUGGGGACCUACCUCUUAGUGGGGGAUAACGGUUGGAAACGACCGCUAAUACCGCAUACGCCCUUCGGGGGAAAGAUUUAUCGCUAAGAGAUGGACCCGCGUUGGAUUAGAUAGUUGGUGAGGUAACGGCUCACCAAGUCAGCGAUCCAUAGCUGGUUUGAGAGGAUGAUCAGCCACACUGGGACUGAGACACGGCCCAGACUCCUACGGGAGGCAGCAGUGGGGAAUAUUGGACAAUGGGGGCAACCCUGAUCCAGCCAUGCCGCGUGAGUGAAGAAGGCCUUCGGGUUGUAAAGCUCUUUCAGAUGCGAAGAUGAUGACGGUAACAUCAGAAGAAGCCCCGGCUAAUUUCGUGCCAGCAGCCGCGGUAAUACAAAAGGGGCUAGCGUUGUUCGGAUUUACUGGGCGUAAAGGGCACGC